rnacentral:rRNA from 1 species
CGAAGCGGGGAUACUUACAUAAGACGAGAAGACCCUAUGGAGCUAAGACAGCUUGUGUUAAGAACCCUCCCCAGACGGAAUAAACAAGACAACCUGCCUUACAUGUCUUGGUUGGGGCGACCGCGGGGCAAUAAAAACCCCCCAUGUGGAACGGGAGCAUCCCUCCUUGCACUAAGAGCUACCGCCUAAGUCCCAGAAUUUCUGACUCAGAUCCGGCAGCCGAUCAACGAACCGAGUUACCCUAGGGAUACAGCGAAUCCCCUUUUAGAGCCCAUACGACAAGGGGGUUUACGACCUCUGUUGGAUCAGGACAUCGCAGCCGCUAUUAAGGGUUCGUUUGUUCAACGAUUAAAGUCCU